rnacentral:tRNA from 1 species
ACUUCUCUAAUAUAAAUUAGUAUAAGUGAUUUCCAAUUAUUUAAUCUUGGUUAAAACCCAAGGGGAAGUA